rnacentral:rRNA from 1 species
UUCCAGACUCCUACGGGAGGCAGCAGUGGGGGAUAUUGCACAAUGGGGGGAACCCUGAUGCAGCGACGCCGCGUGGGUGAAGGAGUGCUUCGGCAUGUAAAGCCCUAUCGGCAGGGAAGAAGCAAGACGGUACCUGACUAAGAAGCCCCGGCUAACUACGUGCCAGCAGCCGCGGUAAUACGGAGGGUGCGAGCGUUAAUCGGAAUUACUGGGCGUAAAGCGCUCGUAGGCGGUAUGUCAAGUCAAGGGUGAAAUCCCCGCGCUCAACGUGGGAACUGCCUUUGAAACUGGCAAACUGGAGUGUGUGAGAGGAUAGUGGAAUUCCAGGUGUAGGAGUGAAAUCCGUAGAUAUCUGGAGGAACAUCAGUGGCGAAGGCGACUAUCUGGCACAUAACUGACGCUGAGGAGCGAAAGCGUGGGUAGCAAACAGGAUUAGAUACCCUAGUA